AGAGAUAAGGAGAAAUUCCAGCUUUUUCUUAUUCAUCCUUCUGUUAUUUACAUAAUAUUUAUAGAUCCUAGGAAGGAAUAGUUUCUUCUAGAAUUGGUAUAAUCCUAGGAAUCUAACUAAUUUCUGUUAUGGAUGCUUUUUCUCUCAGGUACGCAGCAUCCGCAGGAGGAUUGUGGAGGAUCUUGUGAGCUGGCAAUUUCCAUUGGAUACCUUCAGAUGAAAUCUUUCAAAUAGGUGGGCUUUUUGACCUUUCUUUUGACUAUUGGUUCCUUCUGCACCCCAUUUUCUGUAAGUUCACCUUCCGUGUUUGCUGCUAUGUCUCUGUUGUCCCUGAUUGAAGCUUCUCUGUUCAUAACACUCUGCGGCCCUUGUAGACGCACCUUGUCCUCAAGGUGGAAGUCUUGCUGUAACUGCUCCCAAUCCUCCCAUGAAGUCUCAUCGGGAGAGAGUCCCUGCCACUGAACCAGCACUUCCUAAGUUCCUUAUGUCGGGUGCCUUCUUGAAUCCAAAAUAGCUAAGGGGUAUACUACCGGUUGGUCAUUGACAAAAGUGGAAGGUAAAUGCAACUCGGAGUGUUGCUCGGGAUUUCCUCGAAAAGGCUUAAGCUUAGAACAAUGAAAUACAGGAUGAAUCCUGGCUGAGUCUGGUAAUUUCAGCUUAUAAGCUACAGGGCCAAUGCGGUCUUCCACCUGAAAGGGGCCAUAGAAACGUUUUGCGAGCUUGCCGGCUGUUGGUUGUGGUCCUUUGGCUGAGGUCUGUCGGAGAGGACGAAGACGAAGGAGAACCCAAUCACCUAUCUGAUGUUGGGUAUCGUGUCUCUUACUAUCAGCUUGCCUCUUCAUAAUCUCCUGUGCCUUAAGGAGUUUCUUGCGAAUCGGCUGGAAGGUAGCAUCUCGGUCAGUCAGUAAAUGCUCCACUGCUUCAACAUUGGAAGACCCUGUGAUAUACUCAGGGAAAUUGAAGGGUUUCUUACCAAAAGUGACCUCAUAUGGUUUUGUUCCCGUGCCGGCAUUCCACGACGUGUUAUGGGACCACUCAAUCCAUGGCAACACUUUUCCCCACCUAUUGGGUCGCCGAUGGACAAAUGCUCUGAGAUACUGCUCCACUACCCUGUUAAGCACUACCGUUUGCCCAUCGCUCUGGGGAUGAUACGCAGAGCUCAUGCGUAAAUGAGUACCACUAGCUUUGAACAGCUCUUGCCAAAAUCGGCUAAUAAAGAGGGGGUCCCUAUCGGAAACCAAGCUACGAGGGACCCCAUGUAUUUUGACCACCAUGUCAAUGAACAAAGAUGCCACCAUAUGAGCUGUGUGGGAUGUUGGUAACAUUCCCAGGUGAAUCCCUUUCGAAAAACGGUCCACCACCACAAGGAUUGUAGUGUUUCCAUGAUACGCCGGCAACCCGACAAUAAAGUCUAACGAGAGGUCUUCCUAGGGCCGAUGGGGAACCGGUAAGGGACAUAGUAGCCCGGCAACCCUUUGUGUCUGGUAUUUAGUGACUUGGCAAUCAAAGCAGUUGGCCACGAAUUGCUUGACGUCCUCCCUGAGACCAGACCAAGUAAAAUUCUCGGAAAUUCGGGCCAGUGUCUUUGUGACUCCAGCAUGACCCCCGGUUGGAGUAGUAUGAUAUUCCUGAAGUAAUGUGGCCGUGAUUGGGAGGUCCCUAGGAAGCCAAAUGCGCCCUCCUGUUAAAAUCAAAUCCUGGGUAAUGGAGAAUGCAGGAUGAUUAUAAGGUGUGUCCCUAAUUUCCUGUUUCCGGCGGCAGAACUCAGGGUGAGCUUCUAAUUGGCGUCGUAAUUCAUUCAGGAAGGUCAGAGAAGGAACGGAAAGAAUUAAGCAUUGAGAGGGUAUUGGUUCCCGUUGUCGGGACAAGGCAUCGGCGACCUUGUUUUGGUGUCCUGAACGGAACUGAAUCACAUAAUCAUAUCCCAAAAGUCGAGCCAAGUACUUAUGUUGCUCGGGAGUUUGAAUUACUUGGGUGAGUAAUUCCUUGAGACUGCGGUGGUCCAUGAUGAUGAUGAAACGUUGUCCUAACAGGUAUUGCCGCCACCGUUUGACCGCGGUGGUUAUGGCAACUAGCUCACGUACAUAGGUGGAAGCCACUGCGAGUUUGGGAGGAAACGGUUUGCUGAAAAACGCCACAGGGUGGCCUUUCUGGGUGAGCACGGCUCCCAUGCCACUACCGGAAGCGUCAGUCUCCACAGUGAAUGGGGACGUGAAGUCCGGGAGAGCUAAGACCGGAGCGGUGGACAGGGCCGUCUUCAACUGAUCAAAAGCGUCUUGAGUCUGGGGGGUCCAGGCAAAAGCGUCCGUCGUAGUUAGUCGAACUAAAGGGGCGGCGAUGGUGGCAUAGUGGCGGAUAAAUCGCCGAUAAAACCCGGCAAGUCCGAGAAAACUCUUGACAGCUUUAGCCGAGCGUGGUGUCGGCCAUUGUCGAAUAGCUUCAAUUUUAGAGGCUACUGGUUCAACCCCCUUAUGAGACACAACAUGGCCAAGAUAUUCAACCUGUUUCUGCGCAAAGGAACAUUUAGAAAGUUUAAGAACAAAAUUAUGGUCAAGCAGGAGCUGGAAAGUAAUUGUCAGAUGGUGAAGAUGAGCCUCGAAUGAAGUGCUGUACACCAAGAUAUCAUCGAAGAAAACGAUGAUAAAGCGGCGGAGGUGCUGUCGGAAUAUGCUAUUCAUGGUGGCCUGAAAGGAACUUGGUGCAUUGCAGAGCCCAAAUGGCAUUACUUUGAAUUCGUAAUGUCCAUGGUGGGUUCUGAAAGCAGUCUUAGGUAUAUCGGGGUCGUGCAUGCGUAUUUGGUGAUAUCCUUGAAGUAAAUCAAGCUUAGAGAAGUACUGAGCACCGCCCAAUUCGUCCAACAAUUCAUCAAUUGUCGGAAUCGGAAACCGGUCACGAACCGUGACGGCGUUAAGGGCUCUGUAAUCAACGCAGAAUCUCCAAGAGCCGUCUGUCUUGCGGACGAGAAGAACGGGGGAUGAAAAAGGACUUGUACUUGGUCUGAUGAGUCCUUUUUGUAACAUAUCAUUGACUUGCUGCUCGAUCUCCUUCUUCUGGUAAUGGGGAUAUCUAUACGGAUGGACAUUCACGGGAUUGGUGUGGGGAAGGAGGUGGAUAUGGUGGUCGGUGUCACGGUUAGGAGGUAAGCCGGAGGGGUUCUGAAAUAGGGUCGAGAAACGUGUAAGUAAGGCUUGGAUUUCGGGGGUUAAGGUGUGUGGUGGUGGAGGUUCAGGGUUGUCGGUGAUGAGCGCAAUACGGAAAUAAGAGGCUUGGGUCUGUGUCCGGCAAAGUCGCCGGAGUUGAUGGUGAGUGAUGAACCCGGAGUCAUUCGUGUUCUCCCCUUUUAAUUCUAUUAACUGAUUUUGAUAAAAGAAUUGCAUCCGCAGAGAGCCGUAGUCAGUGAGAAUGGGGCCCAGGGUCUUGAGCCACUGGACUCCCAAGACCACGUUGGCGCCGACAAUAGGUAGUACGUGUAAGUCCAUGGUGAACAUGACGUCCUGAAUCAUGAUGGAACACCUUCGCAGACGCAAGCGCAAUCCAAGUGUUGGCCAUUGCCAACCAUCACGCGCAAUGGUGAAAUACGGCGGCAGGGAAGGCCCAAUUGGGUCACUAAUACGGGCUGCACGAAGUUGUGGGUGCUGCCGCCGUCAAUGAGCAGCACCACACGGUGGUCAGCCAUAAGUCCCACCAUACGCAAAGCCUCAGGUGCCAGGUGGCCCGAAAAUGAAUUAAGGCUUAUUUGGGCCUGAAAUGGGUCGGGUUCAUGAGGCGGGUCGGGUGGCGGGUCAGGGGGGUCUAUUUUAGAGUCUGAGGGGUCCUCGUCUUCAGUCACUAAGAGGAAAGCCCUAGCGGCGCAGCGAUGGCCGCGAUGGUAACGUUCAUCGCAGGUGAAGCAUAACCCACGCUCACGGCGUGAGGUUAGCUCCUCCGGCGUGAGACGUUUCAUAAUAGGCGGGGUAGGGCGUGGAGGGGCCGGAAGCAAAGGGGGAAGGGUUUGACGAGGUUCAGCGGAAGCAGGGAGAACACGAAGGGGGUUAGGUUGCGGAGGUGGUGCGCGAGGGCGUGAGGGAAGGCGGUUGUCGGAAAUCUUUUCUUCCUGAAGCUUCGCGAGGCCCGCGGCCUGGACCAGGGUGAGGGGCUGAUGAGCUUGGACUUCCCGGCGAAUCUCCGGGUUAAGACCGGAAAUGAAGCAGCUCAGCAGGAACGGAGAUGGCAGUCCGAUGACCCUGUUCGCGAGGUCCUCGAAUUCCGAAAGGUACUGAUUGACUGACCCCUUCUGUGUCAACUUAAAUAAAACACCUGUUGGGUCUUCGUAUUGUGACAGAGCAAAUCUGGUUUGUAGGGCUUGUAAGAAUCCAGGCCAUGAGGUAAACUGGGCAUUGCUUGACAUCCAUUGGAACCAAGCAAGUGCCCGGCCCUCCAUAUAAAAAGAAGCUAUGGUGAGAUGGUCUCGCUCAGGGGUUCCAUGAUAUUCGAAAUACUGAUUGAUUUUGAAUAUCCAACCUAAAGGUUCUGUUCCAUCAAAUCUGGGAACCUCUAAUUUCAUUUUAUGUUGUGUGGCAGGAACAGGGGAGGGCGGAGGUGGUUCAGGUUGCGGGGAAGGGAAAGAGGUCGGACGAUGAAGCAGUUCGUCAAGUUUGAGGUUCAUGGUCUGCAUAGUAUCUGUGAGACGGGUGAGGAUGGAUUCCAGGUUGGGUGAUGAUGAAUCGUGUGGACCGGUCAUGGUGGCAGCGGAAACGAGAGCACCAAUGUUAUGAACGUGGCUGAUUUAGAGGUUCAGCUCCUCCAGAGAAUAGAAGGAAAUUCUAGAGGUUUCAGAGAUAAGGAGAAAUUCCAGCUUUUUCUUAUUCAUCCUUCUGUUAUUUACAUAAUAUUUAUAGAUCCUAGGAAGGAAUAGUUUCUUCUAGAAUUGGUAUAAUCCUAGGAAUCUAACUAAUUUCUGUUAUGGAUGCUUUUUCUCUUAGGUACGCAGCAUCCGCAGGAGGAUUGUGGAGGAUCUUGUGAGCUGGCAAUUUCCAUUGGAUACCUUCAGAUGAAAUCUUUCAAAUAGGUGGGCUUUUUGACCUUUCUUUUGACUAUUGGUUCCUUCUGCACCCCAUUUUCUGUAAGUUCACCUUCCGUGUUUGCUGCUAUGUCUCUGUUGUCCCUGAUUGAAGCUUCUCUGUUCAUAAC
rnacentral:lncRNA from 1 species